rnacentral:tmRNA from 1 species
AUUAUUGAAACUGUUGUAUUUCCUUUUAUAUUAAUAAUGUUGGAUUUCCAACUAUGACGAUAAACGAAUUUCGAAAUAACCAUCGCGGACGUGGGGGCAGUACCCACCACCUCCACCAUUACAACUUAUGGGGGUGAAAUAGAUUCGACGGGUGACUAAAGGCUAUUCUUUUGUUCGGGAUUGUUCCACCGCAACGGGCUAAUUUAUAAUUGCUAACGAAAGUUACGCACUUGCUGCCUAAUUAACUUUGUUAAUUAAGUAGACGGGGUCCGGGGCACCUGGCAACAGAACGCCCCACU